rnacentral:rRNA from 1 species
AACGAACGCUGGCGGCAGGCUUAACACAUGCAAGUCGAACGCCCCGCAAGGGGAGUGGCAGACGGGUGAGUAACGCGUGGGAAUCUACCCAGUUCUACGGAAUAACCCAGGGAAACUUGGACUAAUACCGUAUACGCCCUACGGGGGAAAGAUUUAUCGGAAUUGGAUGAGCCCGCGUUGGAUUAGCUAGUUGGUGGGGUAAUGGCCUACCAAGGCGACGAUCCAUAGCUGGUCUGAGAGGAUGAUCAGCCACACUGGGACUGAGACACGGCCCAGACUCCUACGGGAGGCAGCAGUGGGGAAUAUUGGACAAUGGGCGCAAGCCUGAUCCAGCCAUGCCGCGUGAGUGAUGAAGGCCUUAGGGUUGUAAAGCUCUUUCAGUGGGGAAGAUAAUGACGGUACCCACAGAAGAAGCCCCGGCUAACUUCGUGACAGCCGCCGCCGUAAGAC